UGUGGGAGCGAGCUUGCUCGCGAUAGCGGAGUGUCAGCCGCAUUGAUAUCGAACAUUCGGCCGCCAUCGCGAGCAAGCUCGCUCCCACA
rnacentral:misc_RNA from 1 species